UACAGAGGUGGCGAGCGUUGUUCGGAUUUACUGGGCGUAAAGGGCGCGUAGGCGGCCGGUCGUGUCGGGUGUGAAAUCCAUGGGCCCAACCCAUGAAGUGCGCCCGAAACUGCCCGGCUGGAGUGCGGGAGGGGAGAUCGGAAUGCAUGGUGUAGCGGUGAAAUGCGUUGAUAUCAUGCAGAACACCGGUGGCGAAGGCGGAUCUCUGGAACGCUACUGACGCUGAGGCGCGAAAGCAGGGGGAGCAAACAGGAUUAGAUACCCUGGUAGUCCCUGCCCUAAACGGUGCACGCUUGGGGUGGGGGGAUUUCACCCCCCCCGUCCCGGAGCUAACGCGUUAAGCGUGCCGCCUGGGGAGUACGGCCGCAAGGCUAAAACUCAAAGAAAUUGACGGGGGCCCGCACAAGCAGAGGAGCAUGUGGCUUAAUUCGAUGCAACGCGAAGAACCUUACCCGGGUUUGACAUGCAGCUGCGCGUCCCGUGAAAGCGGGAUUCCUUCGAGGGUGCUGCACAGGUGCUGCAUGGCU
rnacentral:rRNA from 1 species